GCUGGAACCAGCUUUUCUUUUUGCUGAAACUUGCUACAUCGACUUCUUCAUUUGGUGGGGAUGGGUGGUGUUUUUGCUACAACCGGCAACUACAAAAGUUACAUCUACAACCGGCAACUACAAAAGUUACAUCCGGCGAGCGGUUUUUGUACGACCAGCAAUGAGGAUGAGUACUUCCUUUUUGCUAGCUCAUUGUCAGCAUGCUGCGACCGGCGACCGGCGCCACCGGAGCUGCGGUCGUCGCCACAGGGAGCUGCAGCCACGGGCGCACGCUGCUGCAUGCAUGUAGCGAGAAACGCAAGAGGUGGCUACGAUGGCGACCUGCAGGGACGAGGACGACCGGCGGCGAGGGCAGCGACUAGCGAGAUGUGCCAGGCAGUGCUUCAAGGCCGGGUGCGUCGCUAGUCCAUGGCUACCUGAUGGAAGCUUGUUUUUUCCAAAGAAAAAAAUACAUUGACAGAGAAAGGAGAGAGAAUCGUGUGGCUACCCGAUGUUUGAUCGGACGCUGCUGGUGCGACCGGCCCAAAUUUCGGCGGGCGCACCGGCGCGUGUGACUCGCCAAACUCUAACCCACACUGCGGGGACAUGAGCGCAGCCGACGAGCGGGACCAGGGGAACACCGGCCCACCCGUCAUAGAGUAAAAAUGACCGAAGGGAGUACGACACAAGCGUGGGCGUGAAAACCAGGUGCAUGUGCGUCCGCCAACCCUUCAGCAGCGUUGCGCAGUCCUCGCACGACGCACGCCACAGUCAGCGCGCAACGACCCAUGCGACGCGCCAGGGGCGGUCUACCCGAGAAUUUCUAACCCAGCCAAUGGAAGAACUGGGCGAGCCCACCAGUCAUCAUAGCCCACGCUCGAUCACUGGGUCAAAAUAGAAAGUAAAAAACGUGCGGCCAACAAGGCGCGUUGACCCGACCAAGCGAGAUCAAACGGCCAUGACAAUGUGAAAUCGGUGGAUCGCUCGGGAGGGCGGGUCGUCCCGGAACCUUAUAUGUUAGAAUAUAAUAUAAUUAAUUAUCAAAAGCACACUAACUGAUUUCUUCUUUCAUAUUUUAUAAUCUGUUAAUUGUAGAUAUUGCUGGUGUAGUCAUGUACGUGGGCCCAGUUGACUAUGAUACAUAUUCCCCUCUAUGCAUGAGGGAAGUAGCACUGAUCGAUGCUGCCAUGCGAAUUAUCUUCCUACACAUUUUUGAAGAACUAGUUGAACGCCAUUGGAAUGAACUUCUUUCUGCUGAAGCAAAUGUUGGCUUAAUCAUGGCAACCUCGAUGAAGGUUCAUCAACUAUCCAGUGUGCAUGAUCAAGUUCGUGAUGACUUGUCUUUCCGUGAUGCUAUCAAGAAUGAAGUUCUUCUUAGGAAGGAUGCCCGCAAACAAGACGAUGUGGAUAACUCACUUGUCCCCAAGAUAACCGCGACUGAAGUAGACUUUUGCUCUGGUCAAUCUUCCCCCGUGAAGCAAAAUUUCAAAUAUAUAAGGGGUGAUGAGCGUCCACCAAUCAACGUCAACAAGAAGGAUCAAUUGGACUAGGCAUAAAGGUCUCAAAUAAAUAAGAAGUGUGAAACUAAAGAAUUUCAAGCCCUUGGAUUCCUAGCCUUUUCUUUCGGUUGUUGAAUUUUGAGUUUUGCUUAAUGACUUGUUUGAUGA